rnacentral:rRNA from 1 species
AGAGUUUGAUCCUGGCUCAGGAUGAACGCUGGCGGCGUGCUUAACACAUGCAAGUCGAACGAUGAACCGGUGCUUGCAUUGGGGAUUAGUGGCGAACGGGUGAGUAACACGUGAGUAACCUGCCCUUAACUCUGGGAUAAGCCUUGGAAACGGGGUCUAAUACUGGAUAUUGACUUUUCCUCGCAUGGGGUUUGGUUGAAAGAUUUAUUGGUUUUGGAUGGACUCGCGGCCUAUCAGCUUGUUGGUGAGGUAAUGGCUCACCAAGGCGACGACGGGUAGCCGGCCUGAGAGGGUGACCGGCCACACUGGGACUGAGACACGGCCCAGACUCCUACGGGAGGCAGCAGUGGGGAAUAUUGCACAAUGGGCGAAAGCCUGAUGCAGCGACGCCGCGUGAGGGAUGACGGCCUUCGGGUUGUAAACCUCUUUCAGUAGGGAACAAGGCCAGACGUUGUCUGGUUGAGGGUACUUGCAGAAGAAGCGCCGGCUAACUACGUGCCAGCAGCCGCGGUAAU